rnacentral:rRNA from 1 species
AAACCUACGGGACGCAGCAGUGAGGAAUAUUGGUCAAUGGCCGAGAGGCUGAACCAGCCAAGUCGCGUGAGGGAUGACGGUCCUACGGGUUGUAAACCUCUUUUGUCGGGGAGCAAGACCCGCCACGAGUGGCGGAGCGAGAGUACCCGAAGAAAAAGCAUCGGCUAACUCCGUGCCAGCAGCCGCGGUAAUACGAAGGAUGCGAGCGUUAUCCGGAUUUAUUGGGUUUAAAGGGUGCGCAGGCGGACCAUCAAGUCAGCGGUAAAAUCGUGGGGCCCAACCCCAUCCCGCCGUUGA